rnacentral:rRNA from 1 species
CCUACGGGAGGCUGCAGUGGGGAAUAUUGGACAAUGGGCGAAAGCCUGAUCCAGCCAUGCCGCGUGUGUGAAGAAGGCCUUCGGGUUGUAAAGCACUUUCAGUGGGGAAGAAAGCCUUGGGGCUAAUACCCUCGAGGAAGGACAUCACCCACAGAAGAAGCACCGGCUAACUCCGUGCCAGCAGCCGCGGUAAUACGGAGGGUGCGAGCGUUAAUCGGAAUUACUGGGCGUAAAGCGCGCGUAGGCGGUCUGAUAAGCCGGUUGUGAAAGCCCCGGGCUCAACCUGGGAACGGCAUCCGGAACUGUCAGGCUAGAGUGCAGGAGAGGAAGGUAGAAUUCCCGGUGUAGCGGUGAAAUGCGUAGAGAUCGGGAGGAAUACCAGUGGCGAAGGCGGCCUUCUGGACUGACACUGACGCUGAGGUGCGAAAGCGUGGGUAGCAAACAGGAUUAGAUACCCCGAUAGUC